rnacentral:antisense_RNA from 1 species
CUUGAUCGAGCCCAGCCACAGCGGCUGCCCGUCACCGCGCUCCUGGCCGUAGGUCGCCAGCAGCGCCUGCGCCUC